UUGGGAGCUCUCCCAUAUGGUCGACCUGCAGGCGGCCGCGAAUUCACUAGUGAUUCGUAUUACCGCGGCUGCUGGCACGAAGUUUGCCGGGGCUUAUUCUGCAGGUACCGUCAUUAUCGUCCCUGCCAAAAGAGCUUUACAACCCUAAGGCCUUCUUCACUCACGCGGCAUGGCUGGAUCAGGCUUUCGCCCAUUGUCCAAGAUUCCCCACUGCUGCCUCCCGUAGGAGUCUGGGCCGUGUCUCAGUCCCAGUGUGGCUGAUCGUCCUCUCAGACCAGCUACCCAUCGUUGCCUUGGUAGGCCGUUACCCCACCAACAAGCUAAUGGGCCGCGAGCCCCUCCCAAUGCGGAGGCCGAAGCUUCCUUUAGCGCACAGGCUUACACCCGUGCGCCACAUCCGGUAUUAGCCCGAGUUUCCUCGGGUUGUCCCGGUCAUCGGGGCAGGUUACUCACGUGUUACUCACCCGUUCGCGGCUUGGCCCCAGGGCAAGCCCUGGUUCGUCGCACCACUUGCAUGUGUUAAGCACGCCGCCAGCGUUCGUCCUGAGCCAUGAUCAAACUCUAAUCGAAUUCCCGCGGCCGCCAUGGCAGCCGGAAGCAUGGGACGU
rnacentral:rRNA from 1 species